GACGAACGCUGGCGGCGUGCUUAACACAUGCAAGUCGAACGGAAAGGCCCUGCUUUUGUGGGGUGCUCGAGUGGCGAACGGGUGAGUAACACGUGAGUCACCUGCCCUUGACUUGGGGAUAACUUCAGGAAACUGGGGCUAAUACCGGAUAGGAGCUCCUGCUGCAUGGUGGGGGUUGGAAAGUUUCGGCGGUUGGGGAUGGACUCGCGGCUUAUCAGCUUGUUGGUGGGGUAGUGGCUUACCAAGGCUUUGACGGGUAGCCGGCCUGAGAGGGUGACCGGCCACAUUGGGACUGAGAUACGGCCCAGACUCCUACGGGAGGCAGCAGUGGGGAAUAUUGCACAAUGGGCGGAAGCCUGAUGCAGCAACGCCGCGUGCGGGAUGACGGCCUUCGGGUUGUAAACCGCUUUCGCCUGUGACGAAGCGUGAGUGACGGUAAUGGGUAAAGAAGCACCGGCUAACUACGUG
rnacentral:rRNA from 1 species